rnacentral:rRNA from 1 species
GACGAACGCUGGCGGCGUGCUUAACACAUGCAAGUCGAACGAAGUGGCGAACGGGUGAGUAACGCGUAAUCAACCUGCCCUUCAGAGGGGGACAACAGUUGGAAACGACUGCUAAUACCGCAUACGGAAGGAGGGGAUUGCGUCGGAUUAGCUAGUUGGAGGGGUAACGGCCCACCAAGGCGAUGAAAAGUAGCCGGUCUGAAGGGAUGAACGGCCACAUUGGGACGGAGACACCGCCCAGACUCCUACGGGAGGCAGCAGUUGGGAAGCUGCCGCAAUGGAAGAAAGUCUGACGGAGCAACGCCGCGUGAGUGAUGACGGCCUUCGGGUUGUAAAGCUCUUUUAAUCGGGACGCGGUACCUGAAUAGAAAGCCACGGCUAACUACGUGCCAGCAGCCGCGGUAAUUC